rnacentral:lncRNA from 1 species
AUGGCCCACACCGAGAUCCGCCGCCUGACGGACGAGCUGGAGUCUGCACACAUGACCCAGAAGACCUACGAGCCUGAACUGGCAGCAGCUCAGCAGGAGGUGGAGCAGCUCAGACACCAAGUAGAAAAACUCAAGAAGUAUGAAAUGGUGGAGCUGCGGAAGGUCAAAGAGCUGAAUGACCGCCUGGACCUGGAGAGCCGAACCUUCAGAGGCAGAGUUCGCUGCCUGGAUGCUGAGAACAGCAAACUGCAGCAGAGGGUGGCGUCUCUGCAGGAGGAGGUGAAGCGGCUGGAGCAGCAGCUUGUCACGAGCCACACCCCCACUGCUCAAAAGCAGGAGGGACCGCUGCAGCCACAGAAAGUCAUAACAGAACAGUUUCAGGCUGAUGGAAAGGAUCCUAAAGCAGAGCCGACACAGAGCAACCAGAUGUGCAGAGAUCUGCAAGAAAAAAUCAACAUCCAAACCAAACAUCUGCUGCAAAAAGACUUAACUGUGGAGUCUCUCCAGAAGAAGGUGGAGCUGCUGAAGGCCGCCGUGCAGGAGCAGCAGCAGCAGCUCAUCACUGUGCAGCUUCAGGCCGACCGAGCCGCUCAGCUGGCCGAGUCUCGCUCGGCCGAACUGAUCCAGAGCAGUCAGACCUGCAGAGAUUUACAGAACACGGUCCGUUCUCUUCAGCAGCAGCUGGAGAAUUCCCACAACGACCUGGAGAACCUGAUCACUAAAGUCUGCACCAGAGAGAACGGCCUCCACAAUCAGAAGAUGUGGAAACAACAGACAGCAGAUUCACGGCUGUGUGAAGAUUUCUGUAAGCUAAAGAAUGAAGAACUGAAUGAAGAAAACAAGCAACAAAAGGAGCGUCUGGAAGAUCAGGAGGCGGUGAAGACGCUGUGGUCCACCAGAGACGAGUGUGAGACUCUGAAGGAGGAGAUCUGUGAAACCCUCAAACAUCUCGACAAGGAACAAAGUAAAUACCACGAGAUGAAGGAGAGACACAAAGCCAAACUGUGCCGAGCGAAGCAGAAAUUCAGCGACGUUACCGCUCUGCACAACGAGAAGAUAAACAGGCUGCAGAGAGAACUGUCCCUCUGCUCACAUUCACUGGCAAAGGAGAAAGAACUGGUGAAAAGCAUGAACGCUGAAAACGAGAAGCUGCUCAGUGAGAGGAGGAGAUUGAUUCAGCAGCUGGAUGAGGAGGAGCACAGCAAGAAAGACCUGCAGCUCUCGGCCGGUUUGUCCAGACGCAGGGUGGAUUUUUUAGAAGUGGAGAAUAAGAAACUGGGAAACAAAGUCCUCCAGUUGUCCGACCAGCUGGGCGUCCUGCAGCGCAGCCAGCAGAACAGGCGCUCGCUUCACUUCGCCGAGGAACUAAAGAAAAUCCUGAUCCUCCAGCAUCCCGCCCUGCAGACGUCCAGCGUGUCGGACGGUGCCAAGCGGGGCAGCGGCGGCGGCGGCGCGUCUCCCCCACACCGCCGCAUGUCGGGGUCCUUCGCUCCAUCGGCAGAGAUGGGCUACCUGAACCUGACCACUCAGUGCCAGACCGACCCCCCCAGCAUGGCCGACGGCAGCCAAUCAGAAAGCACGCUCUGCUGAUGGGGGUUGACCUACCUGCUGCCAGCUGUACAGACCUUAACCCUAACCCUAUUUAUCUAAUAAGUUAAAUAAAUAAUGGAAAAUGAG